rnacentral:lncRNA from 1 species
CCAAGAACUCUUGUAUAAUGUUAGGAGGAGCAUAAAAUGAUACAGUCAUUCUGGGGAACUGUUUUGCUGUUUCUUUAUGAAGUUAAACAUACAUCUAUCUCAAGAAACAUCACCUCAAGGUGAUGAAAGGCCAAGAAACAUGACCUUGAGAUAUUUACCCCAGAGAAAUGAAAACAUGUUUUUAAAAAUUUUUUUAAGAAGAAUAGUCAUAGUGGUCUUAUUUCUCAUAGCCCUAAACUGGAAACAACUCACAUGUUCCCUAACAAUUAAAUGGAUAAACAGACUGUGGUAUAUCCAUAGAAUGUCGCUCAACUAUAAAAAUUAAUGACUUUGUGUUGAUACGUGUGAUAAUGUGGGUAUAUCUCAAAAUAAUCAUGCUGAGUAAAAGAAGCCAGAUGGAAAGAAGUGCAUACUGUGCAAGACUGUUUAAAUGGUGACCCAGCCUUCCUCUCUCUUCCCCCCCAACCCUGUCUGCUCUCCUGUUCUGGAUCUCUUAAUACUCUUUACCUCUCUAACCCAGUCUUAUACUUGGCUACCUAUUACUUUUACAGGCCCAAGUCUUAACUCCCCAAGUAGGUCGUAAAUAUCCUAACACAGAGUUGUGAUCAUGCCACCUCAAUACCCUUUACAGCAGUGGUUCUAACGCCACCAUGAAGGCCUCACCUCAUCACUUCAUCCAAACCCACUUACCUCCCAAAAGUCCUGUCUCCAGAUACCACCACACUGGGAAGUUACGGCUUCAACAUAUUCCAUGGCACUUGGGGAACAGUAAAAAAAAAAAAAUUAGCAAUGCCUGAAUCACAUGCCCAGAGAUUCUGAUUCAGUUGAUCUGAAGUGGGACCUAGACAUCUGUAUUCCUUUUAGGUUCCCCCAUAACAUGCAGCCUGAAUUGAGGACCCCUACUCUAUACCUUCCUAUUCAAGGUGAGGUCUGUGGACCAGCAGCAUCAGCUUGUGAGAUUUUCUGGUCCCAUCCCAGAUCUGUGAAUACAACUCUGCCUGGCAGCAAAAUCCGCACCUGCUUCCUUAUGCACCAUAAAGUUUGGAAAAUGCUUAUCUGAAGCAUCAUGCAUAGACUUGCAUAUAGGUAUGAGAAUGCUCCAUCAAUCAAUUCCUCUUGGAAUUCAAAUAGAUGAGCAUUUUGUCAGCAAACCAAGUUUCAGCUUUUUUCAUCUUGGAUGCCUGUCAAGGUGUAGCUCUUACCUACAAAUAAUUGCACCUUAGUGUGAAGAUUUUAUAUAUUGCCUAUAUAUCAUUGUCUGUUCACAAACAAAAAAUCAGCAACUAGACCCAAUGUUAAAAACAAAAUCCUAAUGUUUUUGACAAUAUACUACCACCCCAGAGAGUCCAUCACAAUGAAUGAUUACUUCCUUAGCUUCAGGUAAGCUUUAAAAUGGAUAAUGAAACAGAAGAAGGUACUUGUAUUCCAGCUGCAAAAGAGAAGUGGCACUUAGCACAGAGCAUGAAUAUUGUGUAACUUAUAAAUAAUUCCGUAAACUAGGGAAAGAAAAAACAUACAAGCUUAAACAAAUAGCAGAAAAUUCCUAAUGCUUAAAAUAUGCUUAAGGUUGGGAAAUGAAGAGCUUAUUAUAUCUAAUGCUAUUAUGUUGCACAGUGUACGAGCUUUCAAAAGAUUUGAUUACCGUAAGUAUGCUUAAUACUAAAAACAGAAAGGAAUGCCGUCUUACCUGAUGUUUCAGGAGGCAGUUCAAGGUCUCGUCAUCCAUCAAGAUCAUCAGUGUGGUCUUCAAUACGAAUGUGGCUCAUGAAAGUAUUAAAUGAGAGAUUCCAGGCUGACAGACUGAAAGUGAUGAAUUUCCACUUUCUCUUUUCAGAAGUACCCAAUGGAUAUAUAUAUAUAUAGUUCUUUAUUUUUUUAAGAACUAUUGACUAUGAAAACCUUUAUGUUUAAAAUAUCCUCUGAAUUCAGUAUAGGUGCAUUUUUAAACUCCAGCCUCAAGGAUGAAUUAUGCUUCUGGAGAUUGGUCUCAUUUUCCUUUCCAUCCCUAAUUGAUAACUUCCUCAUUGUUAAUUAUAUGAUUAAAUGGUUUGCUAGUUCAUGGCACCCUUAUAGUCUAUUCACUAAGCUAAAAAUAAAAAGAUGCUCAUCUACCUUCAAUACACAUAUGUAUAUACACACACCUACAAACUCAUCUUUAAAAGAAGGCAUAGGGAGUUCCCGUCGUGGCGCAGUGGUUAAUGAAUCCGACUAGGAACCAUGAGGUUGCGGGUUCGGUCCCUGCCCUUGCUCAGUGGGUUAAGGAUCCGGCGUUGCCGUGAGCUGUGGUGUAGGUUGCAGACCGGCUUGGAUCCCGUGUUGCUGUGGCUCUGGUGUAGGCUGGUGGCUCCAGCUCCGAUUCGACCCCUAGCCUGGGAACCUCCAUAUGCCACGGGAGUGGCCCAAAGAAAUAGCAAAAAGACAAAAAAAAUUUUAAAAAAAUAAGAAGGGAUAAUGUUUUGUAUUUAAAUUCCAUUUCCCAAUGCUUAGGGUUGAUAUUUAUCUAAUUACUGAACUGAUUCAACCCAAAACAUUUUUAUGAAAUUCCUAUUGUAUGCCCAACAGAAAUACAUUUUGAAAGUAGAAAUCUUUUUUCGUAAUUGAAUUAUAGUUGACUUAAAAUAUUAUAUUUAAAACAAACGGUUGUUUAUAUUGGGUAUACAUAAUGAGAAUUUACAUCCCAAUACUGCAAAUUAUUGAAUAAAGACGCUGCUGGUUCAGUAAAAAUCAGUUUAAAAGGACUCUUUCCCAUUAUCUUCCAAAAUAACUUAGAAAAUAGUGGUAUUUCUCUUUUAAGCAUUAUAUAAGAAAUUUGUCUUUACAUUAGUGAAAUAAUGCACAGACAGAAUGUUAAAUUUACUUUUUUCCUUUCAGCAAAAUUGUUUUUCUAUUUUUAUUAAAUUUUAAUGAAAAAUAAUAAAUACACUUCUUAAAAACAGCUGAAACAUUGGAAAAGGAUAUUCAGAGUCCCCAGUGUGGCUCAGCAGGUUAGGAACCUGAUGUAGUCUCCGUGAGGAUGUGGGUUCAAUCCCUGGCCUCGCUCAGUGGGUUAAGUAUCCGGCCUUGCUGCAAGCUGUGGCAUAGGUUACAGAUGCAGCUCGGAUUCCUCGUUGCUGUGACUGUGGCAUAGGCCAGCAGCCACAGUUCCAAUUCCACCCCUAGUCCAGGAACUUCCGUAUGCCACAAAAACGACAAUAAAAAAGAAAGAAAGAAAGGAAGAGAGAGAGAGGAAGGAAGGAAGGAAGGAAAGGAAAGGAAAGGAAAGGAAAUCCAGUGGAAAUAAGCCCACAUCUCUCAGAAAUGUUCAUGCACAUGUAAGUAUAUAUCCUUUCUAUAUAACUCUAUGUAUCAUCUUAUUCCCUGCUUUUUUUUUUUUUCAGAUAAAAGCUUACCAUGUACUCUUCUUUACCUUGAUACUUUUCACUUAAGUAAUUUUGGAGCUUUUUUUUCCAGACCAAUACAUGUAGGUCAACCUUAUUUUCAAUGCUGCAUGCUAUUCCUGGUGACCCCUGAGCAGCUGUCCACUUUAUCUGGAUGGAGAGAUGGCCAGAGGUAGGGGUUUGUACCAAUUCGUGGGUGACCAGAGGUUUUUUUGGUACAUUGGGAGUCUGAGGAAGUGGUUUGCAGAUGAAUCUCUCCAUACCGGUGCCGUCACAUGUGAACGCUCACCAUGGGGCAUCCAGGACAAGGCUCUUAGCAAUCAGUUGGACAGAGUGGACCAUUCUGUGGAUGUCGGUCAGCUCCUUUCCCAGUCACCCUGAGGCUUGUUCAGUAGCCUUAUGUAGAAUGCGGUGGGAAUGGAGGCCACACAUGGCUCAACAGUAUGCACCUGUCCUCACCAAGGCUGUUCUGGCUAUUGUCACUGCUGGAUGCCUAAUCUGCUGACAGCAGAAACCAAUGCUGAGCUGUCAUGUGAGAUCAUUCCUCGGGCAGAAUAGCCAGCCACCUGGUAGCUGGUUUAUUACAUUGAACUCUUUACAUUAUGGAAAAAAAAUUUAUUGGACUAGUAUUGCAACCUGCCAGACUACUAAAAACUCUCGGAUGCUUUAGAAAUGAAGGUUUAAAUCAUCUUCCUAGGAAGGAGCCCCACCCAGACAACUGAGGUGUUGGUUAAAGGCAAAGGGAACAUGGAAUAGAUAGUGGAAGAAGCUCAUUAACAAUAAUUAUUCAACUGAAGUUCCUGUCGGGUGGCUCAGUGGUUAACAAAUCAACUAGGAACCAUGAGGUUGCCGGUUUGAUCCCUGCCCUUGCUCAGUGGGUUAAGGAUCUGGUCCUGCCAUGAGCUGUGGUGUAGGUUGCAGACGUGGCUCGAAUCCCUCAUUGCUGUGGCUCUGACAUAGGCUGGAGGCCACAGCUCCGAUUAGACUCCUAGCCUGGGAACCUCCACAUGCUUGGGAGCAGCCCUAGAAAAGGCAAAAAGACAAAAAACGAACAAACAAAAAAUGAUUAUUAUUCAACUGUUAUCACUAUCAAUCAACUAGGUUUGUUACCAGUAAGUUACCAAAGCAAGAACUAUGGCGGCUCUGCAUAUUUUCUUUCCUUGUUAUGUAUAACAUUGAGUGUCACUGGUGGUUCCCUUUACGAUUUAGUCCUUAGGUUGCAGAAUAUCCAAGGUGUUAGGGUGACUAAAAGAGAAGAGGAAUUGACAUCACUCAGAGGUGAACACAGUGGUUGAGGCUGCCUCCUCAUAGUCGUCACACUGCAUUUCCCCCUUUGGGGACAGACUGAGAGCCUGCAUUCAUUUAUGUGAGGAAUAGAGUUGCAUUCUGUUAGGUAGAAGUAUGAUGUUGGAUGGAUACAAUGGAAUGUGUGAAUAUGAGUUGCAAAAGAGUGGAUGUACUGGAUUGUGUCUCUUGGCUCUUAGGUCCUAAUUCAUCCUCCUACAUAUCCUGAAUCUUCUUUUCCAGACACUCAUCCAGUUGUUUUCUUGUUAGGUUCUUCAAUGGGAGGGAUAGGUAGUAGGUUCCUGUGUGGGAAGAAGAGGUUUCCUGUGCCACUGGCAGCGUCAGGGACAUGCAGCUGGCUUUGACUGCUUGUGCUACAAGCUCCAGAAGCCUGGGGGUAUUCCAGCAACUUUGGCCGCGAGUAUCCAUUCAUAGGAUCCAGCCAAGGGACAGUGGCAGCUUCCCAGUCUUUCAGUAACAGCUGUCUUCUUUCUCUGCUCCUCAGCCCUUCCAGCAUUUUUUAACCAGUUCCCUCCAUUGCAUCCUUCUCUGCUUGAAAUACAUUCAGUGAUUUCUACUCUCCUGUUUGAAUGCUGAGUGAUACAGAGAUCUUUCUGUGUCAGCACAAGGUGAAUUUCCUCAUUCUCUAGUUUUUUGUUCUUUUUUUUUUUUUAAGGCAGGCAUCAUAUUUAUAUAAGAAGACUCAGAUAAUGGAUAUUUAAGUUGCUUUCAAUCUUCUCUUUCAAUCAGUAAGAGCAAUAAGGACAUUUCCAUUUUAAGAAAGUAUCGGGAUUCACAUCAUUGGCUCAGUGGUAACGAAACUACCUAGAAUCCAUGAGGAUGAGGGUUCAAUGCCUGGCCUCUCUCAGUGGGUUAAGGAUCCAGUAUUGCUGUGAGCUGGGGAGUAGGUUGCAGACACGGCUCCGAUCCCCAUUGCUGUGGCUGUGGUGUAGGCCGCAGCUACAGCUCUGAUUUGACCCCUAGCCUGGGAACUUCCACAU